AAAUACACAGCCAAGUGUGAUAAAGAAAGUUACAACAGAAAUAUCCAACCAGGCUUUUCUAACCUAGACAAGGCCAGUGAUUCAGGAAAGGCUUGUCAAAUUAAGUGUUAUCUAAACUGCACGUGGAAGGAUGAAUGGCAAUUAGUGAGGCCAAGAUGACACCAAGAAGUUCCAAGUUGAAAGGACAAAACAUGAAAUUCAGGAGGUGUUCCCUCCACAAUCUUGCAUGAAUGGUUCACUCAAGACUGAUGUGACAAUAUUCCAGAAGCAGUAUUCUGCCACCCUCACUGUCAACAUCAAGCAAUCCAGAGUCUUUUAAACCAAUGUCUGCACAUGGAAGAUUCAUAGAUCCAGCUUUGUGUUCCAGUCCUAAGAAUAAAGAGUUUUCUCUCAAUAUCUUGUUCAUGUCUGGUUGGGAGAUAUAACCAAAAUAUUUUUGACACUUCCACCUUGAAUUUUUC
rnacentral:lncRNA from 1 species